CUCUUCUGUUUUCAGUGUUUUUAAUAAGACUGUCCAAAACCUCCUGAAGGGUUUAUUCUCACCCCUAAACCUCAUAUAUGAGCUCACGGUCCGGUUGGACUCUGAAGGGGGGUUUUGAUUAAGACUUCCAGGGUCGAGAACUUUUUCUUUUUUAUUGUAUUCUAUGGGAGUUAAUUGUAAAACUUCAAUAAUGUAACACUGAACCAAAAGAAGACCAAGAUGCAAACUCACAGGCGGGCAAAAUCAAAGUCUGUUUAAUCAAAAAGAGUUGGUGAACUAAAGACAAGACGAGCUGGCACAGAGAGGAGGGAAAGCUGGGUUUAAAUCCACCAGUGCAGCGGAGUUAACGAGACACAGGUGAGACUCAUCAGGGUCGUCAGGGGAGCAGGUGACACAAGGAGAGGGAAGUCAUCGAACCUGAAACAAGAGACAAAGGUGAGUAUAAAAAUAAACAGGAAACACAAGACGAGAAACGUGAGGGAUGGAAAAAAAAACAACUUAAAGGGAUAAUCUGGGGUAAAAUUAAUUUAGGGUCAAACACAACGUAACACCGAGUUAGACCCCCCCCCCCCCCCCAUGAGAGAUGAAUGUUGCCGACAUUCCACUCUAUAGCCACAAAUAAAGCAAAGAGACUAAACACAACUCACCUACUCUCUUCCAAUAGAUUGUUUCUACGAAGACCUCCAGGCAGGUGCAUCGACCGAUCAUUUCUUUAUCAUUUUCCAUGAAGAAAUGAUCAUAAAUGUUCUUCCUUGAGCUGCGGCAUCCCGCUGUAGUCCAUAAUGGACUGGCCUGAGGUCUCUCUACAAACAAGCGUCUGCUGGAAGAGAGUAGGUGAGUUGUGUUUAGUCUCUUUGCUAAAGAAAUGAGUCAAAGUUAAAAAGAUGUUUGGUGUCUAGUACUAUGGCUGUGACCCUAUAUGUACUAACCUCAGUAGAACAUGGUGUAGUUCCGUUCAGUAACAGAACCUCAUUGGAAAAUUAUCUGAUUUAACUUUACUGUGCUCUUGUUCAAAUAUAUUAACUCGACAGCACAUAAAUUCAUAUCUGUUCACAAAAUCAUGAUUUUAUUGAUAAUUCGGCUCAAUAAAAACACCUUUACCUUUUCAUUUUACUACAGUAGAAGUUUAUUGGCCCAGCUUAUAGACUACAGAAGUGAAGAAACGCCCCCGCUUAAGUUUGUUUUCUUAGGAGUUAGAAAAACUCUGAAUAUAGUACUAUGUCUGUGACCCUAUAUGUCCUGUUGAUGAAGUUAGGUGCUGUUCUGAGCAUUAUUUGUGGCUAUAGAGUGGCGUUUUGGUUGAGGGCGUGGCUCUCUGUAUUUCUAUCCUGCGGUCGUUACUAAAGUUGGUAUAACUAGAGAAGCAAGCGGUCGACAACAUUCAUCUCUUGAGGGGGGGUCUAACUCUGUGUUACAGAAUCACGGAGUCGCGUGUAGUUAUUUUUGAGUUUUUCAGGUCGGAUUGAGUGUCUUUUAUGCUAACUCAGUAAGUCCACGCAACACAAAAUCGAAAUUUCCAAAAAAAACAGCUGACAUUUGAAGGAUUUGAUCAACUCCCCCAGACAAGGCCGGACAGCCCCCCAAAAAAGAGGGCAUGUCCGGGGAAAAGAGGAUGUAUGGUCACCCUGAAUCUGAUUAAUCGCCAUAGCUCACUUGUUCAUCAGAGGAGAGAUUGGGUUGUAUUUUUAGUUGAAGUACAUAUGAGCUAACAUCAGGACAUGGCGAGGGACUGUUAGCGUGUUAGCACAACAACCAUGAAGCAUUACAGGUCGAAAAGGUUGUAUAAGAGUCUGGAUCUCAUCUGUACCCCCUUUCUUUACGGAGUUAUAUCUCUAUCUGUGUGUUUUUUUCACUUCUCCUGUCAGCUUCUUCCUCGAUUUAAAGCUAUUUGAUAUUUUGUGCUUUUCUCUGACUUUGUUCUUUGAAUGUCUUUUUGAGAUACCUUGGACGGCACAAAAGCGAAGAAUAACACAACAAAACAGCCAAUCAAGACAGUGACAUGACCAGCAAGGUAAAACCACUCUUCUCUGCAGCAGAGUCGGGUUCCUCUAAAGAGAUAGUUGUGACGCUUUUUUCAGGUUUCAAUAAAAGCAUCUCAGUGGGACGGAGAAG